rnacentral:rRNA from 1 species
AGCAGGCGCGCAAAUUACCCAUCUUGACUCAGGGAGGUAGUGACAAUAAAUAACAAUGCAGGGCAGGAUUCUGUCUUGUAAUUGGAAUGAGAACAAUUUAAAUCCCUUAACGAGGAUCAAUUGGAGGGCAAGUCUGGUGCCAGCAGCCGCGGUAAUUCCAGCUCCAAUAGCGUAUAUUAAUGUUGUUGCAGUUAAAAAGCUCGUAGCGACUCUCGGGGCGGUGUCAACGGUCCGCAGCAAUGUGGCACUGUUGUCUCCGCCUCUUCCUUCUGGACACCAUGUCUUCUCUUAACUGAGCGGAUGUGGGGGCCAGAUCGUUCACUUUGAACAAAUUAGAGUGUUCAAAGCAGGCCUCCGCCUGAAUACUUGAGCAUGGAAUGAUAUCAAUAGGUCCUUCCUCCCCGUUUAUUGGUGAUGGGGAGGAAGGAAAUGAGAAAGGGGAAUGGUUGGGGCCAUUCGUACUGCAGCGUUAGAGGUGAAAUUCUUGGAUCGCUGCAAGACGAACAACAGCGAAAGCAUUUGGCAAGAACGUUUCCACCGGUCAAGAACGAAAGUUAAGGGUUCGAAGACGAUCAGAUACCGUCGUAGUCUUAACCAUAAACUAUGCCGACUAGAGAUCGGUGGAUGUUAUUUUAUGACUCCAUCAGCAUCUUAUGAGAAAUCAAAGUCUUUGGGUUCCGGGGGGAGUAUGGUCGCAAGGCUGAAACUUAAAGGAAUUGACGGAAG